rnacentral:rRNA from 1 species
AAGGUAGCGAAAUUCCUUGUCGGGUAAGUUCCGACCUGCACGAAUGGCGUAACGACUUCCCCGCUGUCUCCAACAUCGACUCAGCGAAAUUGAAUUGCCGGUCAAGAUGCCGGCUACCCGCGGUUAGACGGAAAGACCCCAUGCACCUUUACUACAGCUUCACACUGGCAUCAGGCCAAGCAUGUGCAGGAUAGGUGGUAGGCUUUGAAGCAGGAACGCUAGUUUCUGUGGAGCCAUCCUUGAGAUACCACCCUUGCUUUGCUUGAUGUCUAACCGCGGUCCGUUAUCCGGAUCCGGGACCCUGUGUGGCGGGUAGUUUGACUGGGGCGGUCGCCUCCUAAAGCGUAACGGAGGCGCGCGAAGGUUGGCUCAGAGCGGUCGGAAAUCGCUCGUUGAGUGCAAUGGCAUAAGCCAGCCUGACUGCGAGACUGACAAGUCGAGCAGAGACGAAAGUCGGCCAUAGUGAUCCGGUGGUCCCAAGUGGGAGGGCCAUCGCUCAACGGAUAAAAGGUACGCUGGGGAUAACAGGCUGAUACUGCCCAAGAGUCCAUAUCGACGGCAGUGUUUGGCACCUCGAUGUCGGCUCAUCUCAUCCUGGGGCUGGAGCAGGUCCCAAGGGUACGGCUGUUCGCCGUUUAAAGAGGUACGUGAGCUGGGUUUAGAACGUCGUGAGACAGUUCGGUCCCUAUCUGCCGUGGGUGUAGGAUACUUGAGAAGAGUUGCCCCUAGUACGAGAGGACCGGGGUGAACGAACCACUGGUGGACCAGUUGUCGUGCCAACGGCAGUGCUGGGUAGCUAUGUUCGGACAGGAUAACCGCUGAAGGCAUCUAAGCGGGAAGCCCCCUUCAAAACAAGGUAUCCCUGAGGGCCGUGGUAGACCACCACGUCGAUAGGCCAGAGAUGUAAGUGCGGUAACGCAUUCAGUUGACUGGUACUAAUUGCCCGAUAGGCUUGAUUUG